UACGUAGGGCGCAAGCGUUGUCCGGAAUUAUUGGGUCGGUAAAGAGCUCGUCAGGCGGCUUUGUCACGUCGGGUGUGAAAGCCCGGGGGCUUAAACCCCGGGUCUGGCACUUCGAUACGGGCUAGGCUAGAGUGUGGUAGGGGAGGAGUCGGAAAUUCCUGGUGUAGCGGUGAAAUGCGCAGAGUAUCGAGGAGGAACAGCCGGUGGCGAAGGCGG
rnacentral:rRNA from 1 species